rnacentral:rRNA from 1 species
GGAGGGUGCGAGCGUUAAUCGGAAUUACUGGGCGUAAAGCGCGCGUAGGCGGUUUGGUCAGUCGGAUGUGAAAGCCCUGGGCUUAACCUGGGAAUGGCAUUCGAUACUGCCAGACUAGAGUAUGGUAGAGGGAAGUGGAAUUUCCGGUGUAGCGGUGAAAUGCGUAGAUAUCGGAAGGAACACCAGUGGCGAAGGCGACUUCCUGGGCCAAUACUGACGCUAAGGUGCGAAAGCGUGGGGAGCAAACAGGGAUUAGAUACCCUGGUAGUCCACGCCGUAAACGAUGAGAACUAGAUGUCGGGAGGGUUGCCUUUCGGUGUCGCAGCUAACGCGUUAAGUUCUCCGCCCGGGGAGUACGCCGGCAACGGU